GGAGGAUCCCGAGGGCGCGGCUGGGCGGGGUUCGCGGAUCGCAGCCAACUAGGAUAAAAGGUCUUGCGGCUCUGCCGUGGGACCGGAAGCUCGGCCCGUGAUGACAUUUUUUUUUUUCUCAGGCGGAAGUUCUCUGCGCCGCCUCCAGGAUCCGGGCGGGAGCGGGUUGUGUCUUUUCUGGGCUGCGUGUCCCAAGAGCCAAUGAGUACCUGCCUCGGGGGCCUGGACGGUCACGCGCCUUGGGGUCACUUCGAGGGCCCUGCCUUUUGUCACCCUCACAGCUCUGUCUUCUCGGAUCGCUUUCUGGACACCUCACAAGAGUGGCGUCUGGGCCGGCCCUUGCAGGACUCAGGAAAGCAAACGACAGUGCUCCAGUCCCAACCAAGCUGCCAGGUCUGGCUGUAGAAUUUGUUCCGGGCGCUACGGACGGCACAUUUGUACUGCAUGUGAUGACCCGUUCUUACUGCAAGGAGGAGAGUGAGAGUAACAUGAAGAGGAAGUGGACGGGGUUAGGUUUGUAACUCUAGAAAGAUCAGCCGGGUGGUGGUGGCACACGCCUGUAGUUCGAGGCCAGCCUGGUCUACAAGCUACACAGAGAAACCCUGUCUCUAAAAAUCAAACCGAAAAAGAUCAGUAAACCAAAAAUUGUCUGGAACUGUUGGUCUGUGUCAAUCACGGACAGACUCCACAUUUUUCUUUCAUUACCUUAACAUUAUAUUUCAUUCAGGACUGCCUCCUCUCUUUUUCCCUUUCCCCCAAGAAAAGGAACUACCAGUCUCGUGGUGAGAUUUCAAGAAGCUGGGUCUAAAUUAUCGUUAGAUGUCAUCACUGUAUAUUCAUUAAUUUGUUCUUGUUUGCCUCUUCAUACAUGUGCCUCAGUGGAUCUGUAGAGCCAGAGCCUGCUCUAUAGAUCUCAUGAUUUUAUUUCUGCUGUCCAUGACUUUCUCUCUGUGGCCUGAUAAGGUUACAGUACCGUGGUUUUAAUGAACAAGGAACUGAGGAUUUGAGGCCACAAGUCAGCCUCUAGAGUCUCUUCCAUGUGAGUACUGACUUAACGAGAGUACACUUAGUUUUGUCUGGUUUUUGGUGGAGUAUGCAGUUUUUGUAGUGUAGACAGCUUAAGUAAAUUAAUAGAUAAGCAAUUAUGUUAUAAAGGACCAUACAGGAGAGGUGUACUGUGAUAGCAAAUAGUGAGCCAAGCUAUAUAAAAUGUGCUUUAAAUAAGGUAGUUUUUGCCAGGCGUUGGUGGCAAUCGCCUUUAAUCCCAGCACUAGGGAGACAGAGGCAGGCGGAUCUCUGUGAGUUCGAGACCAGCCUGGUCUACAAGAGCUAGUUCCAGGACAGCCUCCAAAGCCACAGAGAAACCCUGUUUUGAAAAACCAAAAUAAAAAAAAAAAAGGUAGUUUAAGUCUUUUUUUA
rnacentral:lncRNA from 1 species